UACGUAGGGCGCAAGCGUUGUCCGGAAUUAUUGGGCGUAAAGAGCUCGUAGGCGGUUUGUCGCGUCUGCUGUGAAAACCCGAGGCUCAACCUCGGGCCUGCAGUGGGUACGGGCAGACUAGAGUGCGGUAGGGGAGACUGGAAUUCCUGGUGUAGCGGUGGAAUGCGCAGAUAUCAGGAGGAACACCGAUGGCGAAGGCAGGUCUCUGGGCCGCAACUGACGCUGAGGAGCGAAAGCAUGGGGAGCGAACAGGAUUAGAAACCCCCGUAGUCC
rnacentral:rRNA from 1 species